rnacentral:rRNA from 1 species
UGGUGGCGAUAGCGAAGAGGUCACACCCGUUCCCAUGCCGAACACGGAAGUUAAGCUCUUCAGCGCCGAUGGUAGUCGGGGGUUUCCCCUGUGAGAGUAGGACGCCGACCAAGUC